AUUGAACGCUGGCGGCAUGCCUUACACAUGCAAGUCGAACGGCAGCAUGAUCUAGCUUGCUAGAUUGAUGGCGAGUGGCGAACGGGUGAGUAAUACAUCGGAACGUGCCCUGUAGUGGGGGAUAACUAGUCGAAAGAUUAGCUAAUACCGCAUACGACCUGAGGGUGAAAGUGGGGGACCGCAAGGCCUCAUGCUAUAGGAGCGGCCGAUGUCUGAUUAGCUAGUUGGUGAGGUAAAGGCUCACCAAGGCGACGAUCAGUAGCUGGUCUGAGAGGACGAUCAGCCACACUGGGACUGAGACACGGCCCAGACUCCUACGGGAGGCAGCAGUGGGGAAUUUUGGACAAUGAGCGAAAGCCUGAUCCAGCAAUGCCGCGUGUGUGAAGAAGGCCUUCGGGUUGUAAAGCACUUUUGUCCGGAAAGAAAUGGCUCUGGUUAAUACCUGGGGUCGAUGACGGUACCGGAAGAAUAAGGACCGGCUAACUACGUG
rnacentral:rRNA from 1 species